GCACUGCUGAGGAGUCCCAUAAUAAGACGCAAUGGCCGUCCAGUGC
rnacentral:hammerhead_ribozyme from 1 species